rnacentral:rRNA from 1 species
AAUGAACGCUGGCGGCAUGCCUAAUACAUGCAAGUCGAACGAGACCAUCGGGGCUAGAGGCGCACGGGUGCGUAACGCGAGGGAACCUGCCCUUAGGUUCGGAAUAACUCCCCGACAGGGGUGCAAAUACCGGAAAAUGUCUUCGGACCAAAGAUUUAUCGCCUUUGGAUGGGCCCGCGUUGGAUUAGCUAGUUGGUAGGGUAAAAGCCUACCAAGGCGACGAUCCAUAGCUGGUCUGAGAGGAUGAUCAGCCACACUGGGACUGAGACACGGCGCAGACUCCUACGGGAGGCAGCAGUGGGGAAUAUUGGACAGUGGGCGAAAGCCUGAUCCGGCGAUGCCGCGUGAGUGAUGAAGGCCUUAGAGUUGUAAAGCUCUUUUACCCGGGAUGAUAAUGACAGUACCGGGAGAAUAAGCUCCGGCUAACUCCGUG